rnacentral:rRNA from 1 species
GAUGAACGCUAGCGAUAGGCUUAACACAUGCAAGUCGAGGGGCAGCAUGGUCUUAGCUUGCUAAGACUGAUGGCGACCGGCGCACGGGUGCGUAACGCGUAUGCAACUUGCCUCACAGAGGGGGAUAACCCGUCGAAAGACGGACUAAUACCGCGUACACUUGGGAUAGGGCAUCCUGACCCAAGGCAAUGAAAUUCGCUGUGAGAUAGGCAUGCGUCCCAUUAGCUGGUUGGUGAGGUAACGGCUGACCAAGGCGACGAUGGGUAGGGGAACUGAGAGGUUGAACCCCCACACUGGUACUGAGACACGGACCAGAGUGCUACGGGAGGGAGCAGUGCGGAAUAUUGGUCAAUGGGCGAGAGCCUGAACCAGCCAAGUCGCGUGAAGGAUGACUGUCUUAUGGAUUGUAAACUUCUUUUAUACGGGAAUAACAAGAGUCACGUGUGGCUCCCUGCAGGUACCGGAUGAAUAAGCAUCGGCUAACUCCGUG